UCCAGUGUGGUCUAGUGGAUAGGACACGUGGCUACCAGCCACGAGUCCCGGGUUCGAUUCUCGGCACGGGAC